CUGGGGUUAAUGGCAUCUCGGAAAUGACGGUAUUAUUCAAAACAAUCCUACUUGAAUGGGUUAACCAGAAUAUUUGUAUUCUUCGUAUGAAAUGGUUUGAAGUGGCACAGUAAAGACGGCCGAAAAGCCGGGUGUCAAGAGAUAAAAAGUAUAUCAAAAGACGUUAGGCUAAGUGAGCUCUCAAAAGAAAGGCAAAAAAGAUGCAGAAUUAAUUUUUAUGAACAGUUUGAUUCGUUUAAUUAACCAUAGAUUGCUAGUAGUAGAGCUCUAAACUGCAAAUAUCCAAAGUAUUUGCAGCCAAAGUUGGUAGGUUGCAUGCAUUGAAUUUUGUCAUUGUAGAUAGCAUUGAUGUCUGUGCUGAUGCUAAACUGAAUAUUCAUGCGUUUUAUCCGCAGGUUAAGUAAACAUGAAUGGGUCAAUUGGAUAAAAAGGUUAGCUAGAAAUCUUCUUUACAGUGAUGUCUCUUAACAAACUUUUGUAUGGUAUAACAUCCUUAGCAUAUUUCCUUUUACCUUAAAUUUCAAGCCUCAUUUUUAGACCGAUUAUUACCGCAUAUAAGUGGCAACAAAUCAUGCCGCCUAUGUACAAUAAAGCUCUGUUCUCGUUAAAACAACUGCUGUUGGAUCACGCGAGUGGUGAAACAAUAACUUUUACUACCCGGAAAUGGUGCCGAGGAAAAUAGCUUUAAAAAAUUAACUACGACCGCGGUACGUAAAAUGGUUGGAAGAUUAGUAAGUUUUUGGAAAGAUGAAUUUGAUUAUAAGAUGAGUGAGAAAAGACAGAAACGAAUGUCUUUAGCUCUUAUCAUGCUUUCAACGACACCCUUGACUUUUGUAUAUGCUGUAUUUCAUU